ACCAUUACUUCACCUUUUAUUCAUUAGGUAACCAAUCUCUUAUUCCAUUUAUAUUAACAAUCUUUAUCUUAUGUGAUCUCAAGGGUUUAAGAGUCAUGCUCAAAACCAUUCCUUCAGUCUCCUUUCAUUCAUUAUGUAACCAAUCUCUUAUUCCAUUUAUAUUAACAAUCUUUAUCUGAUGUGAUCUCAAGGGUUUAAGAGUCAUGCCUUUGUAGAUGGAAGUUCACUAUUAGAUGGGUGAUCAUCAAAUUUUCAUGAAGAUGGAUGGUUAAGCUAUAUCGAGUUUGAUGAUGUGAUGUCAGUGCCACAGGCUAUUGCACUAUCUGUUGACUACCGCAGGGGCUGGAGCCACUGGGGCAGGUGCUGAAAGAAAACUUUAUGUUGGAAACUUGCACUUCAACAUGACUGAG